rnacentral:rRNA from 1 species
UACGAAGGGGGCUAGCGUUGCUCGGAAUUACUGGGCGUAAAGCGCACGUAGGCGGAUUGUUAAGUCGGGGGUGAAAUCCUGGAGCUCAACUCCAGAACUGCCUUCGAUACUGGCGAUCUAGAGUCCGGGAGAGGUGAGUGGAACCGCGAGUGUAGAGGUGAAAUUCGUAGAUAUUCGCAAGAACACCAGUGGCGAAGGCGGCUCACUGGCCCGGUACUGACGCUGAGGUGCGAAAGCGUGGGGAGCAAACAGG